GCCAGCCGCCGCGGUAAAUACGGAGGGGGUUAGCGUUGUUCGGAAUUACUGGGCGUAAAGCGCGCGUAGGCGGACUGGAAAGUUGGGGGUGAAAUCCCGGGGCUCAACCUCGGAACUGCCUCCAAAACUAUCAGUCUAGAGUUCGAGAGAGGUGAGUGGAACUCCGAGUGUAGAGGUGAAAUUCGUAGAUAUUCGGAAGAACACCAGUGGCGAAGGCGGCUCACUGGCUCGAUACUGACGCUGAGGUGCGAAAGUGUGGGGAUUUUUUAGGAUUAGAUACCCUGGUAGUCCACACCGUAAACGAUGAAUGCCAGUCGUCGGGUAGCAUGCUAUUCGGUGACACACCUAACGGAUUAAGCAUUCCGCCUGGGGGGUACGGUCGCAAGAUUAAAACUCAAAGGAAUUGACGGGGGCCCGCACAAGCGGUGGAGCAUGUGGUUUAAUUCGAAGCAACGCGCAGAACCUUACCAAACCCUUGACAUUCCUAGGACCACCCGAGAGAUCGGGCUUUCACUUCGGUGACCUAGUGACAGGUGCUGCCAUGGCCUGUCGUCAGCUCGUGUCGUGAGAUGUUCGGUUAAGUCCGGCACCGAGCGCAACCCACAUCCCUAGUUGCCAGCAGUUCGGNUNGGCACUCUAUGGAAACUGCCCGUGAUAAGCGGGAGGAAGGUGUGGAUGACGUCAAGUCCUCAUGGCCCUUACGGGUUGGGCUACACACGUGCUACAAUGGUGUCUACAGUGGGUUAAUCCCCAAAAGACAUCUCAGUUCGGAUUGUCGUCUGCAACUCGACGGCAUGAAGUCGGAAUCGCUAGUAAUCGCGUAACAGCAUGACGCGGUGAAUACGUUCCCGGGCCUUGUACACACCGCCCGU
rnacentral:rRNA from 1 species